GACGAACGCUGGCGGCGUGUCUAAUACAUGCAAGUUGAGCGCUGAAGGUUGGUACUUGUACCAACUGGAUGAGCAGCGAACGGGUGAGUAACGCGUGGGGAAUCUGCCUUUGAGCGGGGGACAACAUUUGGAAACGAAUGCUAAUACCGCAUAAAAACUUUAAACACAAGUUUUAAGUUUGAAAGAUGCAAUUGCAUCACUCAAAGAUGAUCCCGCGUUGUAUUAGCUAGUUGGUGAGGUAAAGGCUCACCAAGGCGAUGAUACAUAGCCGACCUGAGAGGGUGAGCGGCCACAUUGGGACAGAGACACGCCCAAACCUCAGGCGGGAGGAGGCAGGAGGGAUUCUUGGACAAUGGACGAAGUUCUGACCGAUCAGCGCGGAGUGAGUAAGGAGGGUUUCAGUAUAGAAAACCUCUGUGGGAGGAAAAGAGCGUUGGUGGGAGUGAAAAGCUCAUAAAGUGGGGUAAACUACCAGAAAGGGAAGGACAAACUCGGUG
rnacentral:rRNA from 1 species